rnacentral:rRNA from 1 species
AUUGAACGCUGGCGGCAGGCUUAACACAUGCAAGUCGAGCGGAGAUGAGGUGCUUGCACCUUAUCUUAGCGGCGGACGGGUGAGUAAUGCUUAGGAAUCUGCCUAUUAGUGGGGGACAACAUUCCGAAAGGAAUGCUAAUACCGCAUACGUCCUACGGGAGAAAGCAGGGGAUCUUCGGACCUUGCGCUAAUAGAUGAGCCUAAGUCGGAUUAGCUAGUUGGUGGGGUAAAGGCCUACCAAGGCGACGAUCUGUAGCGGGUCUGAGAGGAUGAUCCGCAACACUGGGACUGAGACACGGCCCAGACGACUACGGGAGGCAGCAGUGGGGAAUAUUGGACAAUGGGGGGAACCCUGAUCCAGCCAUGCCGCGUGUGUGAAGAAGGCCUUAUGGUUGUAAAGCACUUUAAGCGAGGAGGAGGCUACUGAGACUAAUACUCUUGGAUAGUGGACGUUACUCGCAGAAUAAGCACCGGCUAACUCUGUGCCAGCAGCCGCCGUAAGAC